CCUACGGGAGGCAGCAGUGGGGAAUAUUGCACAAUGGGGGGAACCCUGAUGCAGCGACGCCGCGUGAGUGAAGAAGUAUUUCGGUAUGUAAAGCUCUAUCAGCAGGGAAGAAAAUGACGGUACCUGACUAAGAAGCCCCGGCUAACUACGUGCCAGCAGCCGCGGUAAGACGUAGGGGGCAAGCGUUAUCCGGAUUUACUGGGUGUAAAGGGGGCGCAGACGGCUGUGCAAGUCUGGAGUGAAAGGCGAGGGCCCAACCCCCGGACUGCUAGGGAAACUGUAAAGCUGGAGUGCAGGAGAGGUAAGCGGAAUUCCUAGUGUAGCGGUGAAAUGCGUAGAUAUUAGGAGGAACACCAGUGGCGAAGGCGGCUUACUGGAUUGCAACUGACGUUGAGGCUCGAAAGCGUGGGGAGCAAACAGGAUUAGAUACCCCAGUAGUC
rnacentral:rRNA from 1 species